UAAACCUUCCGUCAGACUUAAACUAGGCAGUGGCGGUUAGGUCUGACCAGCGGACAUGAAAGCAUAGUCAUGUGGCUCCAUUCACUGCCACGGGUGACUUAUGGUGACGAGAAAUAAAUUAAAUAAUGGCUAAUAUAUACGGACGUCCGGAUCAUCAGUCUGCUUAUAUUUUUUAAAAAGUUGAAUUUUGGCGGGUUUUCAUUUCACGGAAGAGUUCAUUUGUUAAUAUUUCGUCAUGCGGGUUACGUUGAAACUAAAUAUUACGAGUAUGACUAAAUAAAAAGCCGAAAUAAUGUAAAAAAAAAAAAAUAAUAAUAAUGAAGGUACCGUGGAUUGGCAACACUUACAAUGUAAACAAACAGCUGAUCACGGGUCCGGAGCGAGGCAAGGAGAUAAAAAUAAUAAUAAACGAAGGAAAUAGAGCAAAUACUCGUAGAAGGACGACAGCAGGCAGAGAGGGGCAGGAGAAGUAGCAGAAUCAGGGAAAGGCGUAUUGGUGCCAGUAAAUAAGGUGGACUUGGAAUCUCUCAGGGGAAACUACAUGUAGUAAUUGAAUUAAAAUGGCUAGAACCAGAGGAUGGGGUUGUGCGUCCCCGGGAGUUCAGAGGGUGCCGGCGCUUCAACUGAUGGUGUGGACCCAUGAGACAGAGGCUCCACCAGGUGGCCAUCAGGGACGUGAGAGGCCUCCAGCAGUAUGCCUGGAGAUACUUGUGUGUGGAUGAGGGACGCAGACUCAAGAACCACAAGUGUAGGCUGACCAAGGUAACAGGGACGUGAGGGGUCUCCAGCAGCAUGCCUGAAGAUACUUGUGUGUGGACGAGGGACACACACUCAAGAACCACAAGUCCCUGAACACCUUUCCCCCAUGAACUGGCUGCUGUUUACUGGGACACCCUUGCAGAACAGCCUGGCGGAGCUCUGGGCCCUUCUGAACUUCCUAAUGCUGGAUAUUUUUGGUUCAAUGUGAGUGAGAUGCAGGAGGGAAGUGAGGAGAGGACUCUGAGGCAGGAAUGGGAGGGCCAGGCCAUCUCCACUCUAAUGAAGAUAAGAGAGAGGGAAUGUGGGUGUGUUUGGGAGUGUUUUGGUGGCUUUGGGUAGGUUUGGGUGUGUUGUGGGAGUUUUUUAUGAUUAUUUAAAGAGGUUUUUUUGGGCUGGAGAGGAGUUUUUUGGGCUGGAGAGGAGUUUUUGGGCUGGAGAGGAGUUUUUUGGGCUGGAGAGAAUUUUUUUGGGUCUGGAGAGGAGCUUUUGGGCUGGAGAGAAAUGUUUUGGGCUGGAGAGAAGGUUUUGUGGGCUGGAGGGAAGUUUUGUGGGCUGGAGGGAAGUUUUUUGGGCUGGAGAGGAGUUUUUGGGCUGGAGAGGAUCGUUUCAGGUCAGGUGGUUAAACACUACCGUCUAUCUAGUGGCUAUUGUAGGCUGUAUAUCUCUCUCUCUCUCUCUCUCUCUCUCUCUCUCUCUCUCUCUCUCUCUCUCUCUCUCUCUCUCUGGCUUACAUAACGCGCGUUUCUCAAGGCAGUGAGAGAGAGAGAGAGAGAGAGAGAGAGAGAGAGAGAGAGAGAGAGAGGAGGACCCGCUCACCCCCGUCCUCAGUCAACUCUCCCUCUCUCUCUCUCUCUCUCUCUCUCUCUCUCUCUCUCUCUCUCUCUCUCUCUCUCUCUCUCUCUCUCUCUCUCUCUCUUGAAGAUGCAGGUCUAGAAGGCUUGUCCUACGCAUUCUUACACUCCCAUUUUGUUGUAUUGGUAUUUUGUUGUAUGCAUUCUUCCACUGGUCCUCCUGUUAAUAGCUGUCAUACGCAUUCUUAGACACCAUGUGAUUUGUAUUGGUGUUUUGUUGUGCGCAUUCUGGGGACUGACGAGCUAGUAAUUGUCGAGCGCAUUCUAAUUCCCCAUAUGAUUUGUGUUGAUAUUUUGCCGUACGCAUUUUGCCACUAAUAAGAAAUAAAAUAUAUAUAAUCUAACCUCUUACCGUACGCAUUCUCGGCAAUAAUGUAUCAGUGAAUAUAUGUUAUCUUGCCGUACGCAUUCCUCAGUAUUUAUAUUUUAUCUUA